GACAUUUUGUGAUUUUUUUUUUUUACGAAUUCAAAGAAAUCUCAACAGCUCAUGUCAAAAUUAAGUUUUAUGCAUAAUUCUGCCUUUACCAGCUCAACCUGCAUCCUGUUACAGUUGUCUGUCCAAGUAUUUCCCAUAAUCGAAAAAAUUCAUUCCACAUAUGCAUUACUUAUAGGUAUCGAUAGACUCUUACCAACAAGUUUUGAUAAUUCAGUGAAAACAUCAGAGGAAAAUAUUUUUAUCUAUUUUUUAUCAGUUGGCAAAUCAAGUGAUUUGGUGGAAGGAAUGAUAUUUUUAAGAAGUCAGAUAUCAUCAUAAAAUUUAUUGGCAUCUAUUUCUACAUUUACGUAUUUUGCAGCAUCUUAAAAAUGUUGGUAUUUGAAAUUUUCAUUCUUAAGAUUAAUUGCUGAAAAAUAUUUGAAUGGGGUGUUUUCAAAAUUAUAAAAUUUUACCAAAUAAUUAAUAGCCUUUAUAAACAACCAAACAAUCAGCACUUUGGCAGGAACAAA
rnacentral:lncRNA from 1 species